rnacentral:rRNA from 1 species
CCUACGGGUGGCUGCAGUGAGGAAUAUUGGUCAAUGGGCGAGAGCCUGAACCAGCCAAGUCGCGUGAGGGAGUACUGCCCUAUGGGUUGUAAACCUCUUUUGUCGGGGAGCAAAAGCCGGACGUGUCCGGCUGUGAGAGUACACGAAGAAAAAGCAUCGGCUAACUCCGUGCCAGAAGCCGCGGUAAUACGGGGGAUGCGAGAGUUUUCCGGAUUUAUUGGGUUUAAAGGGUGGUCAGCCGGAUUGUUAGGUCGGCGGGAAAAUCCUUGGGCUCAACCCCAUCCAGCCGUUGAAACUGGGGAUCUAGAGUGUGCGAGAGGUAUGCGGAAUGCGUGGUGUAGCGGUGAAAUGCAUAGAUAUCACGCAGAACCCCGAUUGCGAAGGCAGCAUACCGGUGCACAACUGACGUUCAGGCACGAAAGCGUGGGUAUCGAACAGGAUUAGAUACCCCAGUAGUC